UACGUAGGGGGCAAGCGUUGUCCGGAUUUAUUGGGCGUAAAGAGCGUGUAGGCGGCCCGGUAAGUCCGCUGUAAAAGUCAAAGGCUCAACCUUUGAAUGUCAGUGGAUACUGCCGGGCUAGAGUCCGGAAGAGGCGAGUGGAACUCCUGGUGUAGCGGUGGAAUGCGCAGAUAUCAGGAAGAACACCGACGGCGAAGGCAGCUCGCUGGGACGGUACUGACGCUGAGACGCGAAAGCGUGGGGAGCGAACAGG
rnacentral:rRNA from 1 species